GUUUGAUCAUGGCUCAGAGCGAACGUUAGCGGCGCGCCUAACACAUGCAAGUCGCACGGAGUAGCAAUACUCAGUGGCGCACGGGUGCGUAACACGUAGAUAACCUGCCCUGAAGAGGGGGAUAACGUUCCGAAAGGAGCGCUAAUACCGCAUAACGCUGAGACGGGUUCGCCUGUUUCGGACAAAGGCUGGGACCAGCAAUGGCCAGUCGCUUUAGGAGGGGUCUGCGGCCCAUCAGCUAGUUGGUAAGGUAAUGGCUUACCAAGGCAGAGACGGGUAGCUGGUCUGAGAGGAUGAUCAGCCACACUGGUACUGGAACACGGACCAGACUCCUACGGGAGGCAGCAGUGGGGAAUCUUGGUCAAUGGGCGCAAGCCUGAACCAGCGACGCCGCGUGAGUGAUGAAGGCCUUCGGGUUGUAAAGCUCUGUGGGGAGGGGCGAAAGACUGAGGUCUAAUAGGCUUCAGGUUGACGGUACCUCCUUAGCAAGCACCGGCUAACUCUGUGCCAGCAGCCGCGGUAAGACAGAGGGUGCAAACGUUGCUCGGAAUCACUGGGCGUAAAGGGCGUGUAGGCGGGAAGGAAAGUCAGAUGUGAAAUCCCCAGGCUCAACCUGGGAACUGCAUUUGAAACUCCCUUUCUUGAGUGCCGGAGAGGAAGGCGGAAUUCCUGGUGUAGAGGUGAAAUUCGUAGAUAUCANGAGGAACACCAGCGGCGAANGCGGCUUUCUGGACGGUAACUGACGCUGAGACGCGAAAGCGUGGGGAGCAAACAGGA
rnacentral:rRNA from 1 species